CAACAGGUGUCAAGAAGAAACAGAUGCUUCUGCAGGAGUGUUACGAUGUUCACGUAAAAAACAAUAAAAACUGCAGGAAGAAACAAUGAUACGGCGGGAAACAGAGGCAGAUUUCUCUGCGGAACAUAAAUUUAAAUACAUGUAUACUACAGGAAUUGAAACAAAUUUGAUGUGGACAGCUACGUAUGCUUUGAACACAGCAUUGUAAUUUUUAUAAAUCAGUCUGUUAAUUCUAAAAAUUGACUUAAUUGUAUUAUUCUUCAUGUAAAUGAGUAAAAGACUUUUUUUCUGGCGGAAAGUUAUAUUGAUUCUGUAAAGUGAUUUAUAAAGAAAGUUUUCAUGAGCAAUUAAUAGCAAAACUAAGUAGCAUCCUGGAAGAAAAUUCCAAGAAUACAAAGCAAUGGCCUGAUGAAUGUAGUUGAAUUUAUGGAAAGGGGAGAAACAACAAAUUGUAUGAAAAACGCAGCGUUUGAAUAAGAAUUCUCUGAGCUUUUUAGACAUGAAUCAUAUGUAUAUUUUGUACCCGUAAAAUAUGGCGAUUUAAGUCUUAUACACGUAUAAGAUUUAAAAGUAUUUGUAAACAAUAAAUCAAUGAAAUAGUAACUAUAAGCUGCAUUCUUAAUAAGACCAUUUUUCUUUUCAAUAAAUAUUUAUUUCUUAAGCCUUUA